rnacentral:rRNA from 1 species
UACGUAGGAGGCGAGCGUUGUCCGGAUUUACUGGGCGUAAAGAGCGCGCAGGCGGCAUGUCAAGUAAGGUGUGAAAUCUCCCUGCUCAACGGGGAGGGUGCAUUUUAGACUGGCAAGCUAGAGGACGGUAGAGGGGGGUAGAAUUGCUGGUGUAGCGGUGAAAUGCGUAGAGAUCAGCAGGAAUACCCGUGGCGAAGGUGGCCCCCUGGGCCGAACCUGACGCUGAGGCGCGAAGGCUAGGGGAGCGAACGGG